UAGCUCAAUCAGUUGAGCAUGGUGCUAACAAUGCCAAGGUCGUGGGUUCGAUUCCCAU
rnacentral:tRNA from 1 species